rnacentral:other from 1 species
AAGAAACCGAGGCAUGCGAGAGGAUUGGUUUCAUAUUCUUCCAACAAACAUCUAACCGGGAACCCGGGAUCGUACGUGAAUUGUAGGCUCGUAAGCGAGAAACGUGCAGCGUAGGUAUGGGUACCCACCUUGCCUUUUGGGUUAGAUCCUGGCCAAUCUGAACGGUGUCGUUAGUUCUUCC